rnacentral:rRNA from 1 species
UACAGAGACUGCAAGCGUUAUUCGGAUUCACUGGGCGUAAAGGGUGCGCAGGCGGCCGUGUGUGUGAGGCGUGAAAGCCCGGGGCUUAACCCCGGAAUUGCACCUCAAACUACAUGGCUAGAGCAUUGGAGAGGGUAGCGGAAUUCACGGUGUAGCAGUGAAAUGCGUAGAUAUCUGGAGGAACACCGGUGGCGAAGGCGGCAUCCUGGACCAACACUGACACUGAGGAGCGAAAGCCAGGGGAGCAAACGGG